rnacentral:rRNA from 1 species
AAAUUGAAGAGUUUGAUCAUGGCUCAGAUUGAACGCUGGCGGCAGGCCUAACACAUGCAAGUCGAACGGUAACAGGAAGCAGCUUGCUGCUUCGCUGACGAGUGGCGGACGGGUGAGUAAUGUCUGGGAAACUGCCUGAUGGAGGGGGAUAACUACUGGAAACGGUGGCUAAUACCGCAUAACGUCGCAAGACCAAAGAGGGGGACCUUCGGGCCUCUUGCCAUCAGAUGUGCCCAGAUGGGAUUAGCUAGUUGGUGAGGUAACGGCUCACCAAGGCGACGAUCCCUAGCUGGUCUGAGAGGAUGACCAGCCACACUGGAACUGAGACACGGUCCAGACUCCUACGGGAGGCAGCAGUGGGGAAUAUUGCACAAUGGGCGCAAGCCUGAUGCAGCCAUGCCGCGUGUAUGAAGAAGGCCUUAGGGUUGUAAAGUACUUUCAGCGGGGAGGAAGGUGUUGUGGUUAAUAACCGCAGCAAUUGACGUUACCCGCAGAAGAAGCACCGGCUA